GAGUUUCAUCAUGGAUGGUGGAUUUUACAUGUAGCGCGGCCUGACAUUCUCGGAAAAUCAGACAACAUUUGAGGUUUACUUCGGGUAUUUAGCUAAAUUGGAUUUUGAUCUAGUGACAUAAGACUGCAAAGAGUCUGAAACUUUCAUUUAUAUGUAUUGUUAAGAACAGAACGAGGAGAAUUGUGCUUUUUUCUACAAUGUCGGCUCAGGAUCGCCCAUUCUCAUAACUGUACAAAGAGAGGUUGGAUAGCACCAUUUGUGUCUACGGGGGGAUUCCAGCUUGACAGGACGUUCAUUGCCGACACCGCAACACUCUGUAUUCAAAAUACAUGUCAUCCUGAAUGUGUGUAAUUUUCCUGCGGAUGAAGGAGUUCUUGAAAGGUUUAUAAGACCUGAGGUCACCAAAACAGCAUUGUGGCAGAAGUAUGGAACACCAGCGUAUACAUGAUAACUUCUUCAGAUGACUGCAAAGCGCAACGUUGCAAAGCUCACUUCUAGAACCCUAGUCACCAAUGACAGUGCACCACCAUAUUCCUUUGCUCACCAGUUGAAACAAACUACCGCCCUCGAGUCAGAAGGCUGUCUUCAUCGUCCAACACACAGCGGUAACAUCACCCCAGGACUUCAACCCUCCGCUGAUACCUGGUUCAGCAAAGACUAGGCCUUGGGGAGUGUUUACGGCUCUGUCACCAAAACAGCAUUGUGGCAGAAGUAUGGAACACCAGCAUAUACAUGUAAUGUAUCGGGACCUUUACAGGUUAACUUCUUCAGAUGACUGCAAAACGCAACGUUACAAAGCUCACUUCUACAACCCUAGUCACCAAUGACAGUGCACCACCAUAUCCCUUUGCUCACCAGUUGAAACAAACUACCGCCCUCGAGUCAGAAGGCUGUCCUCAUCAUCCAACACACAGCGGUAACAUCACCCAAGGACUUCAGCCCUCCGGUGAUACCUGGUUCAGCAAAGACUAGGCCUUUGGGGGGUGUUUACGGCUCUGUCACCAUAACAGCAUUGUGGCAGAAGUAUGGAACACCACCAUAUACAGGAUAACUUCUUCAGAUGACUGCAAAGCCUUUAAGCGCAACGUUGCAAAGCUCACUUCUAGAACCCUAGUCACCAAUGACAGUGCACCACCAUAUCCCUUUGCUCACCAGUUCAAACAAACUACCGCCCUCGAGUCAGAAGGCUGUCCUCAUCAUCCAACACACAACGGUAACAUCACCCCAGGACUUCAGCCCUCCGGUGAUACCUCGUUCAGCGAAGACUAGGCCUUGGGGAGUGUUUACGGCUCUGUCAUAACAGCAUUGUGGCAGAAGUAGCCUCGAUCUCGACCAAGACAUUUUGAAUGCCACUCUGUAUGGCUUGGCAUAGUUUUUUUUUGUUAUUCAUACUAACGUGUGUUCAUGUCAAUUUUUCCACCUCUGACUUACAUUUAUUUUCUGAUACCAUGUUUCUGUGUGAUUUUAGUCUUAUUUCUACUGGUAUGACAAUGUAAACAUAUACUUUUGUUCCACACAAGAUAUUUUGGGAUUUUGUGUGCACUUUCAUGUAACUACAUGUAUUUUUAUACCAUAGUUUUUGUUUCUGAUUGUUCAAUUCCUUUUACGCUCUCAUUCCUUUAUAGUUGUAUCUUAUUUGAGACAGAGGAAGAGAUAGGGUGAAUAAUAGAGAGAGAGAGAGAGAGAGAGGGGGGGGGGGGUGCAGAAACAAAGCGCCAUUCAUGAUGAAUUUUAUUACAUUUGUGUUUUAACUUUGCACAUACAUUGCAAGAUAUUGGGAAUUUAACACGUUUAUUUUUCUGUAAGUUUGUAAAUCCUUGUAUUCACACAGUGUUUUGAGUGAUAUAUUGUAAAGAUAGAUCUUAUGCAUGCUCCUUGGGGAAAAGAAGUUAUACAUGCAUGUCACUUAUCUCAUCUUGGCAUUAUCAUAAUUAUUAUAUUGGUUGAUGUUGCUGAUAUAUGAAACAGAAUCUGAUGGAUAUCAUUGAUAACAGUUACUGUUUGUCAUCUUUUUUACAUCAGGAUAACAGAUCUUAGUAGUACAGCGAAAGACAAUUCACUGUAAUUUGUUAUAUUGUCAUAUAUUACACGAUUAUGAUUUUCAAUGGCACAUGUUUGUACACUACAAUUUUAUGUCUUUAGAGGUCACAUAUCCAGUUUGUUUCGUGAAUAGUCAAUAUUGGAUUAUGAUUAUAAUGUCAGUUUGUUUGCAACAUUUACCCCAUAUAUAGUGGUACCUUACGAUCAACUGUCAAUAUCUACUGCAUUCACUAUACAUAGCAGUGUCUUGCUUGCUGUAACAAAGAGGUACAUAGGGCUGUUAGGGAUUAUCCAUAAUGUACAUUGUUUUUUAGUUUUAUUGUUAUUGUGUUUACCUGAACUUAUAUCUCAAUUGCUAUGUAGGGGGCCUUUCAUAUAAUCAGUAGGUAUCUUGUUUAUGUACCUGUUUUAUAGAUGUAUUCCAUUUCUGUUAAAUAUAUAUACAUGUUAAAAUGCCCUUUUCAGAGAUUUCUACAAUGCCGCUCUUUUCAGUAUGUGCUUUUAUUUUAGUAUAUCAAAUUUAAUUGGAUAUGCUGUUUUUAAAAUCUAUUUCUUUUAAAAUGUGUUUGAAGAUGAUAGGUGAUUACCAUUUGUAAUAUUGCAUUGCGGUUCUUUUUUAGAUCGCCAAGGAAAUAGCAUGAUGUUAAGUUUGUGCAGAAUGUCAUUUACAUGCAUGUAGAUAGGUCUAUGCAAUUUAGCUUUGACUUUGGUUUGAUAAGCCUUGUUUAGUGCUUUGAACAUGAUUUUAACAAUGAAUAGACCUGUUUACUAAUGUACUUCAUUUCAUGUUUCUCUCUAUAGUACAUGGUAGGGGUGAAAUAAGAAUACAAAGGUUAGAAGGAAAAAAUAAAGAAGAUUGGGGAACACUGGAAGACACAAUAGAGGGAGAACGAGAGUCACAGGCGGAAAAGGGAGAGGGUGAGAGAGUUUAACAAAAGAGAAGGGCAGAGAUAGAUCGAGACAUCGCAAGAGAGAAAGAGGGAGGCAAGGAAGGAGUGAAGGGAGAGGGUGAAGAGUAGAGAGGGGGAGAGAGGGAUGCAGAAACAAAGCAAGAGAGAGGGGCAGAACAAGAAAGGAGAAGGGGAACAUAGCAAGAGAGAGGAGAAAGAGAUGCAAUCGAGGCACUCUACUAGCAUAAAUAGAUUUGAAUAUUUACUAUAUAGAGAAAGGGAAAAGUUAUAUAGACAUAGAUGAUGAUGAUCAUGAUGAUGAUGAACAUGAAGGUGAUGGUAAUGAUAAUGUUAGAUGAUGAUAAUAAUGAUAAUGUUAAUGAUAAUGAUAAUGUUGAUGAUCAUCAGACCAUCACGAUGAUGAUGAUCAUGAUGAUAUUGAUGAUGAUGAUCAUGAGCGUGAUCCUGACAUCUUAAAGGAGAAUGAAACCCUUGAAACCAGCUGAAUCCAUAUCAAAGAGAAAAAUCAAAGAAACAUAUUGUUGAAAGUUUGAGGAAGAUUGAAUGAAUAAUAAGAGAGUUAUGAGCAUUUGAAUAUUGAGAUCACUAAUGCCAUGUAGAUCCCCUCAUUGGCAAUGCGACCAAGAUCUGUGAUGUCACACACGUACAACUCCCUCAUUACUUUAGUACUUAUUUCACUUAUAUUCUCACUUUUACAGAGUCUAUCACAAGGUGAGGUGUUCUCUUUAUGAGAGGACAAGUACAGAGGUUUCACAACAUUAUAUCAUUGAUGAAUCGUUUGUCAUAUGAUUAGAAUGAGCAAAAAGAGAUGUUUUGAGGUAUAUUUUCAGUGUCCAAAAGGGGAGAGUUGUUCAUCUGUGACAUCAUAGAUCUUGGUCGCAUUGCCAAUGGGAGGAUCUCCAUAGCAUUUGUGAUCUCGACAUUCAAAUGCUCAUAACUCUUCUAUUGCUAGUCCUAUUUUACUCAAACUUUUGUUGAUCUUAUUCUUUGAUUUUUCUGCUUUCACAAAAGCUAACUUGCUCCAAGAGUUUCAUUCUCCUUUAAUGAAAAAAUGAGGGAUGGUUUAGAUAGCAUAUAGUCUCAGCUACAACAUACUCGAAAAUCAACAAAAUCCAAGCAUAAAUAACGGCGAAAUUGCUCGCAAAAGACAGCAAUGUAGAAUCCAGAUUUGAGAAAAAGUCAUCUCGCAUAGGGAUUACUAGUCCAGAAUCUGCACGGUCCUUAUUUUCCCUACACACUUGAUUCAAGCCGUCGAAGAUGGCGUUAUCAACAAACUCAUAAUAAUGCUACGCAGCCCACCCAGGUGUCACGCGCGUAAAACAUUCCCCAUAGACUUGUGUGUUAAAAUGGCACUUUUGAAAAAUUCAUAAAAAAUAAAUGUGAAAUUAGAGGGUGGAAUGUUUACUAUCAAUGGAUAGGAUAUAUAUCUGACAUUCCAAAUCUGACCAGGAAAGGGUACCGUAGCCAGCUCAUUUUAAAAAUAAAUCGCCAUUUAUGAAGAUAACUAUGAAUCGAUCGAAUUCAUCAACUGAAACAGUAAAAUAGCCCUAAUUAUUCCGCCAGUCAAAAAAUAGUUCCAAAUCACUUAUUUAUCUUCCCAAUUUGGGCGAAGUAAGUUCAGUAGUUACCAUUUCUAGAAUCAGUGUUAGAUUUUGAAUCACAUUCAUACAUUUUUGUCAAUCAGCAAUAUCAAAUUGACAAAAAUUCGAAUGGGUUGGGUCGAACGAAUAUCUUUAGCCCUCCUGAUGUAAUUAGGCUCGUGGAACCCCCAGCCUUUUUCGCCGGGCGUCCUAAUUUAAUGAUCACGCCAUCAUCGGCUGGUAGCAAGUAAGUAGGGAGAGGUAGCGUCAGUGUGGUGGAGAUCAAAAUUAAAUAGGCCAGAUUCUGGACUAAGGGAUUACACGCCAAAAGUAAUGGAUCAAGUGAUAAUAGGGUAAUAAUAAAGUAAAUAGGGUUGUUUAUUACAUUAUUUGCGAUUCUACGUGAUUCAAUAUUCAAAGGAGACGGUAUACUGUACAGUGAAAGGUCGAAUAGACAAAAAAAGUGAAGGAGAAAAUUGUUGGAGACGCCCGGACUCGAACCAGGGGUCUCGAGGUCCGAAGUCAAGUGCGUUACCGAUAUACCAAAACAUUUCCCAUAGCGAUUAAACGUAAACGAGAAAUGGAAUUCUCAAAUCCCACGUUGCAAGUGAAAUAUGAGCAUGAUCUCGGCAUCUGAUCGAAAAAUAAAGGGCACAUUUGUGAUAGCUUUUUGUCUCAGCUACAACAUACUCAAAGCUCAGCGUAAACAAAGAUAAAACGACGGAGAUAUUGCUCGCGAAAGACGAAAAUGUAGAAUCCAGUUUUGAGAAAAAGUCAUGUCCCAUAGAGAAUACACGCAAAAUGUGAAAAAUUGACAUGCCUCCUUUAAUCGCAAAAAUACGCCAUGAAGCCUUUGUCAAAAUGAAAUAUCGUGGCGACUACAUUUGUAGAGAAUAUUCUAAGGUAGAACAUAUCAAAAUUUGAAAGAUAAUUGAUCAACAUUUGCAUAGAUACAAUCAAUUUUCCAAAAAUCUGCUGACGUCAUAAUAUGAAAAUUUAAAUUUUGAGUUCGGAGGCCAUUAUGAUGACGUCAUGAGCUAAUUGAGGGUCAAAUGAAACAUGAAAUCAUAUCUCCGAUUCAUACUCUAUCAAAAUAUGAAAAAAAACUUGGGGUCACCUU